rnacentral:rRNA from 1 species
UUACAACAGCCGUUGUUUCUUGGAUCUCUCAUUUUACUUGGAUAACUGUGGUAAUUCUAGAGCUAAUACAUGCAACAAAGCUCUGACCUUACGGGACGAGCGCAUUUAUUAGAACAAAACCAAUCGGGCUUCGGCCCGUCUGUUGGUGACUCUGAAUAACUACGCUGAUCGCAUGGUCUCGAACCGGCGACGCAUCCUUCAAGUGUCUGCCUUAUCAACUGUCGAUGGUAGUUUAUGUGCCUACCAUGGUUGUAACGGGUAACGGAGAAUAAGGGUUCGACUCCGGAGAGGGAGCCUGAGAAAUGGCUACCACAUCCAAGGAAGGCAGCAGGCGCGCAAAUUACCCACUCUCAGCACGAGGAGGUAGUGACGAAAAAUAACGAGACGGAUCUCUUUGAGGCCCGUUAUCGGAAUGAGAACAAUUCAAAUCCUUUAACGAGGAUCUAGCGGAGGGCAAGUCUGGUGCCAGCAGCCGCGGUAAUUCCAGCUCCGCAGGUGUAUAUCUAUGCUGCUGCGGUUAAAAAGCUCGUAGUUGGAUCUGCGUGCUCGGAAUCGGUUGGCUCACUGAGUUCAAACUGGUCUCCGGCGCUUUAUUUGCUGGUUUUCCCUUGAUGCUCUUAACCGGGUGUCUUGGGUGGCUAGCACGUUUACUUUGAAAAAAUUAGAGUGCUCAAUACAGGCGCAAAGCCUUGCAUAGUGGUGCAUGGAAUAAUGGAAUAGGACCUCGGUUCUAUUUUGUUGGUUUUCGGAACACGAGGUAAUGAUUAAGAGGGACAGACGGGGGCAUUCGUAUUGCGACGUUAGAGGUGAAAUUCUUGGAUCGUCGCAA